rnacentral:rRNA from 1 species
GUCGACGGCAGCACAGGGAGCUUGCUCCCGGGUGGCGAGUGGCGCACGGGUGAGUAAUACAUCGGAACGUGUCCUGUUGUGGGGGAUAACUGCUCGAAAGGGUGGCUAAUACCGCAUGAGACCUGAGGGUGAAAGCGGGGGAUCGCAAGACCUCGCGCAAUUGGAGCGGCCGAUGCCCGAUUAGCUAGUUGGUGAGGUAAAGGCUCACCAAGGCGACGAUCGGUAGCUGGUCUGAGAGGACGACCAGCCACACUGGGACUGAGACACGGCCCAGACUCCUACGGGAGGCAGCAGUGGGGAAUUUUGGACAAUGGGGGCAACCCUGAUCCAGCCAUGCCGCGUGCAGGAUGAAGGCCUUCGGGUUGUAAACUGCUUUUGUCAGGGACGAAAAGGACCGUGUUAAUACCAUGGUCUGCUGACGGUACCUGAAGAAUAAGCACCGGCUAACUACGUGCCAGCAGCCGCGGUAAUACGUAGGGUGCAAGCGUUAAUCGGAAUUACUGGGCGUAAAGCGUGCGCAGGCGGUUCUGUAAGACAGAUGUGAAAUCCCCGGGCUCAACCUGGGAAUUGCAUUUGUGACUG